UGUGCGGUCGACUUUUAACGCGCUGCCACGCAUUGUGUGUAUUGUGUGUUGUAUUUCGUGGUUACUGACGUAAGCGCAAGUAUACGAGGUACCAGGCAAAUAGUCACCAGAUGCCGACCGUGCGACUUCAAUCUCUGCGACUGCUUUGUUCGGUGUGACCGACGGACGCGAUUCAUAGUUUUGAAGAACACCUUCUUCAAAUGUUUCCGCACGUCAGUGAGUAGCAGCGCCGCAAUCCUUUGUCGACGACGCGUUCUGUGGCCCUGGAAAAUGCCUUUACGCUCGGGGACGGCCGGUAGCUCGGCGAUUCCUCGCUUGGCGCACCAUUGAAAACCGGCGGUCAUCCAGCAGUGUACGCUGCCAGCGUAUUUUUUAUUGCCAGAGGUAGCAAACAGCAGUGCCACAACAAACAGUGGAGUGCUGACCAUGCAGUCCAGAAGGUGGCUGAGGCAAGUAUGCUAUAGGAGGUGCUUAUUCAGGCAGAAGAAAUAUGCAUCUGUAGCCAACGUAAAGGAAGCAUCUUCAAAAGGCAGUGCUACAAGGAUGUGAGCAGCAGUUUCCCUUCAACGAACGGGUCAAACUCAUGGAAGCCACGUGCCUGCUGCUUCUGGCCUACACAAACAUGCAGCCACCAUAGUAAAGUUCUUGCAAAGACAUUCUACACGAACUUGCCCAAAGGCGGAAGGAAGGCACGCACAGAUGGACGCACAGAAAUCAUGGGGCUGCCGUAGAAGCUGUGAAUGAGCAUUAACCUGUGAACGUACAGAAAGGAGCGAAGUGGAGCUGUCCAUGGGCCGUGCACACAGUUUCAUAAGCG